rnacentral:rRNA from 1 species
UACGUAGGGUGCAAGCGUUGUCCGGAAUUAUUGGGCGUAAAGAGCUCGUAGGCGGUUUGGUAAGUCGGGUGUGAAAUCUCCACGCUCAACGUGGAGGGGCCACUCGAUACUGCCAUGACUCGAGUCCGGUAGAGGAGUGUGGAAUUCCCGGUGUAGCGGUGAAAUGCGCAGAUAUCAGGAAGAACACCCGUGGCUAAGGCGGCUCUCUAGUACGGUACUGACGCUGAGACGCGAAAGCGUGGGGCGCGAACAGG